CCUACGGGAGGCAGCAGUAGGGAAUUUUCCACAAUGGGCGAAAGCCUGAUGGAGCAACGCCGCGUGGGUGAAGAAGGUCUUCGGAUCGUAAAACCCUGUUGUUAGAGAAGAACGUGCGUGAGAGUAACUGUUCACGUUUCGACGGUAUCUAACCAGAAAGCCACGGCUAACUACGUGCCAGCAGCCGCGGUAAUACGUAGGUGGCAAGCGUUAUCCGGAUUUAUUGGGCGUAAAGGGAACGCAGGCGGUCUUUUAAGUCUGAUGGGAAAGCCUUCGGCUUAACCGGAGUAGUGCAUUGGAAACUGGGAGACUUGAGUGCAGAAGAGGAGAGUGGAACUCCAUGUGUAGCGGUGAAAUGCGUAGAUAUAUGGAAGAACACCAGUGGCGAAAGCGGCUCUCUGGUCUGUAACUGACGCUGAGGUUCGAAAGCGUGGGUAGCAAACAGGAUUAGAUACCCUAGUAGUC
rnacentral:rRNA from 1 species